UUGUUAUUUUGGCAGAUUAGUGCGAUGAAUUUAGAAUUCAAAAAUAUAAUUUUUAUUAUAGAUA
rnacentral:tRNA from 1 species